CACGGACUGCGCGAACGUUAUUCGGAAUCACUGGGCUUAAAGCGUCUGUAGGCGGCUUUGCAGGUGGGGUGUGAAAUCCCUCGGCUCAACCGAGGAAUUGCGCUACAAACUACAGGGCUUGAGGGAGAUAGAGGUGAGCGAAACUCACGGUGGAGCGGUGUAAUGCGUUGAUAUCGUGAGGAACACCGGUGGCGAAAGCGGCUCACUGGGUCUCUUCUGACGCUGAGGGACGAAACCUAGGGGGGCGAUCUGG
rnacentral:rRNA from 1 species